rnacentral:rRNA from 1 species
UACAGAGACUGCAAGCGUUAUUCGGAUUCACUGGGCGUAAAGGGUGCGCAGGCGGUUUGGUGUGUCAGGUGUGAAAUCCCGAGGCUUAACCUCGGAACUGCGUCUGAAACUACUCGACUAGAGUACUGGAGAGGGAAACGGAAUUCACGGUGUAGCAGUGAAAUGCGUAGAUAUCGUGAGGAACACCAGAGGCGAAGGCGGUUUCCUGGACAGUUACUGACGCUCAGGCACGAAAGCAUGGGGAGCAAAAGGG